rnacentral:lncRNA from 1 species
CUCUAUGUAAAAGGUGUAUAUGAAACAUAAAUGACUUUAUCGAAAUUUAAGUCUCAGCCCCAAAGUAGCUUAUCAUGUUUAUAUAAAUACUGCAAAAUUUGAAAAACCCUGAAAUCUAAGUCACUUCUGAUUCCAAGCAUUUUGGAUAAGGAAUACUCAACCAGUACCGGAGAUUUUUUCCUUCUUUAGUAUAACACCUGAUUUGGCUAAAGAUUAUAGAGAUUUCCAAUUUUUGACACCAUCUCUCCUCUCUUGAUUCCAGGAUCAGAAUAUCAUCCUAACACAGCAGCACACUUGCAACUGUCGAGAUAAGGGGCAUCAUGAGAUGCCAGAAAAUUAUAGAACUAUGAAAAUUAUGAGCAUAGAGAAUUCCAGAAUUACAGCCUUGUGGGACGGGAAUAUUUCUCAGCACAUGAUGUUAUUCAUACAUCAACAACAAAUCUUAACCAUGCUCAGUGUGGGAAAGCUUUCUAAUGGUUUGAAAUUUUUCACAAUAAAAUACUGGGAAAAGUUAAAAGAUGCUUCACAACUUUUGGAAUCUGCUCCCUCAAAAAAAGCAUGGAAGUAAAUCACAAUAUUUACAGGAGUCAAUGUGAAGGAGAGCCAGGAAUUCAUUGUGGAAUUGUAAACAAAAAGCACUUAGAAAAGAGUAUCUCAUGUUAUCUAACAAUGAGAGGAGAGGAGAGGAGAAAUGCUGUGGUUAGAAUGAAUCCUACAGAUGCAAGAUAAAUGCUUCCAACAAGAGCCAGCCAACUAGAAAAGAAGGCCACAGCUCAUGUUCACGUACAGGAAACCAACAAGACUGUAAACACAGGAACAGCGAACAACAUACGCAGACGGUUUCAGGCUGGAAGUCACAUUCUGGACAAGGUUUUCGAAAGGAGCUCCCUGAUGAUGAGAAAACAAUGCCACCGAAGCCCGGGGGAGGACAUCUCAGCCCAGGACAGUCUCCGCCUGUCUAUCAAGAUCCAUAAUCAAGGGCGUAUGCCCACGACUCUGAAAGUCAGGAAGGCUCUCCCAGUAGGAACCAGAACCUCAUUCUGUAAAAAUGUUGGAAGGAGAUUCUUGGACCCAGCCGCCUGGGACUGUGUUGGAGAUAACAAGACCGUGGGGAGCCAUCACGGACUGACCUGAUGUAAUUUAGAUACCACCUCUAUUAUGCCCCCAAUCUCUUGAAUAAUGGAGAUGGGAAGGGCAGGAAGAGAAUCGCUGCCUGUGGAUAUCAGUGGAACAAUGCUGCUCAGGCAAUGUGGUUUUCAACUCAGCUACAGUUCUUAGCAGUCAACAGUCAUACCCGACAGGAGGAUAUUUAUAGAUGCACAUGGACUAUUUUCUUUUCUAAAAGCACAAUUCUACAAGAGAAUGCUGUCCACUGAGAGAAAACUCACAGAAUUCCAGGAGAUCGGGGCCUCCUCACCUUCUACUCAGGAUUGUGGCCUGGUGUGCUUUUUAAAUUAUCCAUUCACGCCCAACCUCUGGCCCUGUCGUACUAAUGCACUAGGACCUCUCUGCAGGUCUGCGGAUGUCCCUCUGCCUUCAGCUGUCACAGUGGUGCAAAGGCAAUGGUGUUGAAUGAACCUAACAAAUCCAUCCGCAAACCCAAGAGAGUAGAUGAGAGGCAAGGUCUUUUCAAGCUCUAAAUUCUGUGGAUAACAAAUUUACAAUAAUCCCAAACUAAGUUAACCAACUAACCCCCCCAAAAGUUAUCUGUUCCUUGGCAUGUAUCUCCCCAGAAAUACCACACUGUGGAUAAUAGCUGAUUUCCCAGCCAGGCUCUGGGAGCUAACUUUAUCCAUAGGGUUAAAUAAAUAAACAGGAAGGGGAAAAAAGCAAACU